rnacentral:rRNA from 1 species
UACGUAGGGUCCGAGCGUUGUCCGGAAUUAUUGGGCGUAAAGGGCUCGUAGGCGGUUUGUCACGUCGGGCGUGAAAACUCAGGGCUCAACCCUGAGCGUGCUUCCGAUACGGGCAGACUAGAGGUAUGCAGGGGAGAACGGAAUUCCUGGUGUAGCGGUGGAAUGCGCAGAUAUCAGGAAGAACACCCGUGGCGAAGGCGGCUCGCUGGGACGGUACUGACGCUGAGACGCGAAAGCGUGGGGAGCGAACAGG